UAUUGCAUCGGCUUGCACCUUUUCUACCUAUCAGUAUCUUUUACUAUAAGACUCCAAUGUAAGAGAACUUACUUACUACCUAUUCAGGAGGAUCUCAGAUUCAACGUUAGUGGCUGUGUAUCUUUCAAAUACCUUAUUAGUUAUUUCUUCUUUUGUCUGUUAUUGAGAGUUACAGUACGUGAAACAUUUCAUCAUUGUAUGUCAAAGCUAAGCUGGUCUGGGCAUCCCAGACUUCCAAGUGUUGAAAUGGGGAAUCUUGUCUUAUUAAAUUUAUCCUAUUUUAGUUUUUUCUUAGUGAUAGCACAUACUCUUCUAUGUUAAUUACCAGACAUUAAAGAGAUGAAAGAAGAGAUGGACUGAAAAAAAGAACUGGUUAAAAUUCAAUGUAUCAGAUUAACUGUCAACAGGAAAAUAGAUUGUGAUAUCUUUUUAAGGUGGUGAUAUGCUGCAUGAGAAAUCUGUUUCGUCUUUUUUAGAUUUGAUGUGAAUUAAAAAAAUGGCUUAUGUUAGUGUCAGAUGUGUGUAGAUUCAUUAUACAUACAUGGAUUAAUUGCAUAGAAUUUCUAAUAGAUUAUGUUUAAUGGUGUGCCAAUAUUAGAAAUCCAGUGAUUAGGAAAUUUUCCUUGUUUAAUGUGCCUAUACUCAUAAAAAAAGAGCCUGCUUCUACGUUGGUAAUAUCAAUACAUCUAGAGUUUUACCAUCAAAUUUUUCUUGAUUCAGCUUAGAAAUUUCUCCCUUGUUAACAAGGGUAUCAUAGAAUUUUGUGAGUAUGGUAUAGGAAAGAAGAAUUUCAAAGUAAAGGUUGAGGCAUAACUAUGACUUUUCAUUGCAAAAUGUGGAAGUAGUUGACAAGGUGCACAUUGUACUCCGUUGACUAACUUGUGCUUUUUUGUAAGAAUGACAUGCACCUCCUCUUUUUCAAGAUUCUCCUAAAGUAGUUCCAACUCAUUCUAAUUCAGUAAUUCUACUAUAGUUCAAUGUCCAUUUCUCUUCCUCGUGGCUCCCUUCAUCAAUUAGUUUGAUCUGAUUUUGUUUUUCCUUUGUACUUGUGAAGAGUGUGAAGAGGAAGAUGUUUUUUAAGCUUCCUCCUUACAUUUCCAUUUAAAUUUGUUUGUUAAGUUCUUUCAGUCAUUUUUAGUUAUCUCAUGGCUCUUACAUGCCUUUGCUGAUUGUUUAGAGAGGACUUAUACUGCGCCAGCAAAGUGGAUGAGGGGCAAAGGACGUGUGACAAUCCAAUUUGGUUGUUGUUACAACUAUGCACCAGUAAGUCUUCUACAAUCUUAUCUUAAUCCCUCCCUCUCCACAAAGAAGGACCCCCUCCCACGUACACAUACAGUGGAGGCUCACAACAGUAAAUGGAGUGCCCUAAACUAUUGGCUUUUAGGUGACAAUCUAGUAAAGACUUAUUUUCCCCUAAUUCACAGCUUUCUUCUUUGAUAGGGUUGUAGCAUAAGGGUUAAUCACUGAAAGGAAGUGGAAUGUAUGCAUAGCAUAAUGACUGAAUUUUCUUUAUGGCAGGAUAAGAGUGGGAAUCCCCCAGGGAUCCUCAAAAGUGAAACUGUUGAUCCAUUGCCUGAUCUUUUGAAGGUCAUGAUUAGAAGGCUUGUAAAGUGGCAUGUGAUGCCUCCGACUUGUGUUCCAGAUAGCUGUAUUAUCAACAUUUAUGAAGAGGGAGAUUGCAUACCACCGCAUAUUGACAAUCAUGAUUUUGUGCGUCCCUUUUGUACCGUUUCAUUCCUUAGCGAGUGCAAUAUUGUGUUCGGUUCCAACUUGAAAAUAGUGGGUCCCGGUGAGUUUGCUGGUGCAAUUGCAAUACCGUUGCCAGUGGGGUAAGUGAGAGUGUGCUGUUCUUCUCAUACUACUGAAAUUAGGAUCAUUGAUCAUAACUGACAUUAUAUUACUCCAGAUCUGUACUGGUCUUGAAUGGAAAUGGAGCUGAUGUAGCUAAACACUGUGUGCCAACUGUGCCUACUAAAAGGUACACACUGAAUGUUCAGAGUCAUUACUGACAUUAUAUUACUCCAGAUCUGUACUGGUCUUGAAUGGAAAGGGAGCUGAUGUAGCUAAACACUGUGUGCCAGCUGUGCCUACUAAAAGGUACACACUGAAUGUUCAGAGCUCUGGAGUCAUAGUUAAAUCUUCUGUGUCCUUGCACAUUAUGCUAACAUAUUGUUAACCGGUGCUUCAUAUAGGAUUUCAAUCACGUUUAGAAGAAUGGACGACUCUAAAAGGCCAGUUGGAUAUGUUCCUGAGCAAGAUUUACAAGGGCUGCAGCCCUUGUCAUAUGAAACAGACAGACAGAAGAAAACGAAUUUCUCAAAACCAAGGUAUUCCGCAAGAAAACAGUCAGCACUACGGGAAGAGAGCCUGGAAAGAGUAAAGAUGCCAAUGAGAAGGCAUUCAGAGCCCCGUUACGCAGGUCGAUAUCGACAAGGACCUGCAAACAGACAGAGGUUUAGCGUGAAUACAGAAAAUUGAAGGUACAUUCGGACUUUAUUGUUUUGAUCCAUCGUCAUCUGCUAAAAUUAAUGGCUCUGUUGGUGGAGGUCUCUUCUUUUCUUAUCUUCACCUCGAGCUGUUGAAGUAUUAAAAUUCUGAAGAGGUUGCUGCGUGAUACUCCUUUGGAUGAAUAUCUUCUAAAAUAGAAGUUUAAUCCUGCUCUCUGCAUUGAAAUCUUGUACUACAAUAAUUUCCGGAAACCAGGUAUGAAUGUGAAUGAGGAACAAUCAAGUUGAGAGCGGGAAAGAGUGGUGGUCAUGUGAUCUAGAGAUGGAUGGAUAAUAUAUCUGAUCUGAUAAUUUAUCCGAUGUAUGUGUGGUGUUCCAGUUUGCGGUGGUAAUAGCGUGUAUGUAUAUCACGAGGCAGCUUGGAUAAACACUGCUGAAGAUUGGAGUGUCAACUUGAAUAAUGCACCUUGUGAAGAAUUAAGUCCAUCCAUGUACACUUGAUAUUGGUGAAGCUUACAUGGUUAUUCAAUUCAUGUCAUAGGUUACAGUUAUUUGCGCACAAGCGUUUGUGCUUGCUUACUACUGUAAUGUUUUCUCUUAGUGCUUGUAUCGUUAAUCGGUUGAGCUUAAACAUUGAGACUAAGUUAUCUUGUCUGACACUCUUUGCUUUUCUACUUGUUGGCUCAAAAAUUUUAUGGAAUAUUUACGGUACGAAGGCUAAUAAAUAGGAACAUGAGCGGAGGAUCCGAACUCUUAACUUGCUCUACGACUGUACCUUUUCAUCAUUUGGUCUCAUACCAAUUAUAAUAUCUUCAUUGGUUCAAAAUUGAAAAUAUUAAUUUAUCUUUGUAAUAUAGAUGCUAGUAAAAGAAAUACU
rnacentral:lncRNA from 1 species